rnacentral:misc_RNA from 1 species
GGUCCAAGGAGAAGCAGUUAUCAGUUCCAGGAGAUGAAUACCUCGAUGAUCCAGAGCCUUCUCUUUUACAAAAAUGGGGGAGGGAUGCAUAAUCCAUUAUCUUUAACAAUUCGUCUUUGCCACAGCCGCUUAGAACUUGCACUUUACGUCUUGUCCGUUCUUGUAACAGAGGUCUCACGGCCUUCCAACAAGCUGAAAAUAUAUACGGAGCAUU